GCCCUUGUAGCCCAACUGGAAGAGGCAUCUGAUUUAAGCUCAGAAAAGGUGUCAGUUCGACUCUGACCAAGGGUA
rnacentral:tRNA from 1 species